UAUCCCCUAGAGCUCCGAAGGGGGUAAGUGUUUAUUCAAUUUUUUACUCGCCAGUCGAAGGAACCUGUAAGAAAAAUAUAUGCACUUCGUGGUUCAUUUGGAAGCGUACAUCAUUUAUUCUCGGCCAUAGUAUAAUGGAAAUUUAUUGGAAUAUACCAAAGCAUACGGAACCGGGACAAUAUCGAAUAUCGCAUUUUGGAUACAGUAGACAUAUACUCGGUGAACUUAUUUCUUAUCAAGGAAGAACACGUAUUUUUUAUGUUGACUUGUGAAGAAUUUUUAUGUUAUAAUAUGUUCCUUCGCCUUGGUGGUUUAUUGAAAAUAAUUUAAUUAAAUAAAUAUAAUAUAAUACAA